rnacentral:rRNA from 1 species
UACGUAGGGUGCAAGCGUUAAUCGGAAUUACUGGGCGUAAAGCGUACGCAGGCGGCUAUGUAAGACAGGUGUGAAAUCCCCGGGCUCAACCCGGGAACUGCACUUGAAACUGCGCGUCUUGAGUACUGGAGAGGGUAGUGGAAUUCCUGGUGUAGAGGUGAAAUUCGUAGAUAUCAGGAGGAACACCGGUGGCGAAGGCGGCUACCUGGACAGUCACUGACGCUGAGACGCGAAAGCGUGGGGAGCAAACAGG